rnacentral:rRNA from 1 species
UACAGAGGUCUCAAGCGUUGUUCGGAUUCAUUGGGCGUAAAGGGUGCGUAGGCGGCGCGGUAAGUCGGGUGUGAAAUUUCGGAGCUUAACUCCGAAACUGCAUUUGAUACUGCCUUGCUUGAGGACUGGAGAGGAGAUUGGAAUUCACGGUGUAGCAGUGAAAUGCGUAGAUAUCGUGAGGAAGACCAGUGGCGAAGGCGGAUCUCUGGACAGUUCCUGACACUGAGGCACGAAGGCCAGGGGAGCAAACGGG